UCCUGUUUACAUCCAACUUUGCGUUUCUAUAUACCAAAUUACACUCUACAUUUUUGCAUUUGCACUAAAUUUGCACCAUUUCAGAUCUGCUAAGCGUUGACCAGGAACAUCGGUUGUACUUUACAUCCCCGACUGCUCAUUGAUAUUCUCAAUGUGCGAAGCUUUUGUCUUUUCGUUCUAGGGUCUCGAUCUUCUCGUUUGCAUACAACCACGAGACAGCAACCCUAACACAAGCAAGAACUCCAGCCACACCUAGGUCCAUUGUAACAAUUGAAGCUUAAUCAGCCUUGCUUUGGUUCCCCUUCAAUUCCCUCUUAGAGUAGGUUCUCGUCAGGGCAAUCUUCGGAAGUUUCCUUCAAACAAGGUGGUGCAUUUGGCGGGAACAGGGGAUUGAGACCUGUUCCCCCAGAAAAGGGCGUGUUCCCUCUGGAUCACACGCACGAAUGUGACUUGGUACCAUUACAUAUUUCUUCCCGGUUUUUGUUAAAAUACCAAUUCGUACUCUUUUUUUUUUUUUUCUUAAUUGGGAUUUAGGCUCUUCGUUUUGAUUUAGAUUGAGUGGAAUGCCUAGUGUCACAGAGGGUUGAUGUUUUGGAGUUUGGUUUCAUUGGGACUUAAUUUACAAGUCUAUUAUGGUUCAGGAGAAGAAAGAAUAUAUAAAUUGUCUCAAAUCUUCUGGCUAUCAAUCCGAAAGAUGUAGAGGCUUUUCAAAGCUGUACCUGGAGUGUCGUAUACAGAGGUUAGUUAGCUGCACUGUAGUUACAUGAUGUUUAUAUGCUACAAGGUGCUGAGGAAGUUACAUCAUGUUUAUAUAUGAGGAUCUUGUAACAUCUGGUUUUAUAUAUCCAGAUUUCUCCCAACAAAACAUGCAGAACAUUGACAUUCAGAACCAUGUGGCUAUGAUAAGAAGAAAAAGAGUUGUAGGAUAUAUUUCUAUUGAAUGGAUAUUACAUUUCUUUAAGUGCAUUUCUGACUGGGCAAUAUAAUGAAUAUCCAAUUUCUUGUAAACCUGGUACUAGAACAAAAGGAGUGCUUGAACUGGGUUAACAAACCUACUAAUUAGGUCCUGGCAUUUCCAUAUCUUGUAUUGGGGAUCUGGUAUCACUUUUUUAAGGAAUUGGAAGUAAACUUUUCAAUGCUUUGAUGGUAACCUGAUUUUUUUUUGGAAAUUAAUUGUUGUUUCCAUAUGUAGGGCUGUCAAUGGGUCGGGUCUGACCCAAUGGGCCUGAUGGGACCAAACCAAUUAUAUUGGUUCUGGUUCCAGGAUUUUUAGAUCAAUGGGUCGGUUCCGGUUCUCUUUUUUGGUCUUGAUUAUUAUCAGAUCAGGACCAGUUCUACCCUGUCCUGAACUGACUAAUAUUUUCACCAGGUUUAUUAUAAUCAGGUCCAUUGGGUCAGACCCGAUGGACUGAGAACCGAUCAGUUCAGUUCAGUGUCUAAAAGUACAGAUCCUAUAGGGUCUGGGUCGGUUCCGGUUCUCUUUUUUGGUCUUGAUUAUUAUCAGAUCAGGACCAGUUCUACCCUGUCCUGAACUGACUAAUAUUUUCACCAGGUUUAUUAUAAUCAGGUCCAUUGGGUCAGACCCGAUGGACUGAGAACCGAUCAGUUCAGUUCAGUGUCUAAAAGUACAGAUCCUAUAGGGUCUGGUUCGGUUCCGGGACCUUGACAUUUCUUGUUGGUUCAGGACUAGUUCUACCCUAUCCCGACCCAUCGACAACCCUACCUAUAUCUUGUUGUAGUGGGAUCUGGUAUCACUUUUUUUAAGGAAUUGAAAGUAAACUAUCCGAUGCUUUGAUGGUAAUCUGAUUUGUUUUUUGGAAAUUAAUUUUCUCAAUUUUGUAGUAGAAGCAAAUGAUCUUGGUGCAAGUUCAGCCUUUUUGUGAGACAACUAGUCUUGAUGUGAAUUAGCAGGUUAAUAAAUCAUGUUUGUGAUGUCUUGACAAGAUCUUUUCAGCUUCGGUUGAGGCUGUGUUGUUGGUGUGCGAUAAAAAUAGUUUAGUGAUUAGAAAGGAAAGUACCUAGGCCUAGAGGUUUGUCUUUUUGUGAGGUGUUUGAUCAAGAAAUCAUGUUGUAAACUCGAGAUAUUUGGACGAGAUCCUUUGAAGUUUGGAUUGGGCCAUAUGGAGGUAUUAUAACAACAAUGCCGUGUCCUGCGUUAUUAUUUGCUGAUCCCAUGCAGUGUUAUCAAAGCACUAACUGGUUAACAACUAGUCAAGCAUUACUCAAUUGUGGGACAUAUCAACUGCAUCAGUAACCAGUCAAUACCCAUAGUGUGGUCUCCUAGGACAACUAAGUAUUUUUUACUAGAUCUUACUAGAUCAACUAAUGACUAGUUUGCUUAGCUGAUAAAAAAAGAAUAAUGUACAUUUUUAUUUGUUUGUAUUCAUCCCUAACUUUUUGAGUAGUAUUAUAAUGUUUAUAUUUUUAUGCACACCAAUUGCUUUUAGCAUCUCACUGCACGUGGUUGAGUUAGGGCAUAAUAAUAUAGAAAGAAAACCAAAAGUAGAAAAGGAACAGUCAAGUAGCUCGUUUAGGUCUUAUUAUGAUCAAUUUGCUGUUAUGGAGUUGCUAUUUACAAGGGAAUCAUAUCAGGAACAAAUGCUAUUUCUCCCUACUGAGAUUCUGAUCAAUUGGCUGUUAAAUGCUCUAUACCAUAUCUUUUAUUGAAUACUUGCAGUCUUUAUUAAAUUAUUUAUGAGAUUUCAUCAUUAAAUAUGAUUAUCUAUUUUUAUAUUCAUGUUUAGGGUAAAUUUCUUAAACUACCCUUAAGGUUUAGGAAAUUGGCUAACUAUACUCCUACUGUUUCAGUAUUGUCUUAAAGUUCCCCUACUGUUUCUGACAAUUGACUAGCUCUACCCCUACCGUUAGUAUCCGUUAAUGUUCCAUCAAAAUCCAUAUACAUGUUACAGCAUGUGACAUAUAAUUUUUUCUAAAAUCCAAUAUUACCCCGUCACUUUCCUCUCGAGUCUCAAUGCUGCUGCGGAACACCAGCACCCCCUUCCUCCAAUCCCUCUCUCUCUCUCCCCAUCCACCAGCGGAACCCCCUCUGCCUCUGGUCUCUCUCUCAGUUUCAAUUUUGAAGUUGUAAAGUUCUGCAACUGCAGGAAACUAACUCACCCAUGUUUCGGGUUGAUCUUGAAUUAAGAGAUGAUCAAAAAAGGAGAAAAUCUAGAAAUUUUCAUUAUUUGUGUCUGGACAAACAUUACUAGGAAACUGAGCAUGGGAGAGUGAGCCUCAUAGAGGGCUGGUGAGGCUGUCAUGACCCCUGAAAAACUAGAAAUAAGCUCUCUAGAAUCUCUACACAUAAUUACAUAAAGAAUUCAAAAGCGAUGAC